UCGGUGGAUUCUCUAAGAUGGACAGCGGCGAAAGGGAGAGUAACGAGUGGAUUACCUACCUUCAGGACCGGGAUAGCCGUGGGAAACUGCGGGUAAUACCGGAUAACAUCUCCGGAUCAAAUGGUGUGAUUCCGCCUGAAGAUGGGUCCGCUUCCUAUUAGCUUGUUGGUGGGGUAACGGCCUACCAAGGCAGCAAUGGGUACCGGGUGUGAGAGCAUGGCCCGGCUCACUGGGACUGAGACACUGCCCAGACACCUACGGGUGGCUGCAGUCGAGAAUCUUCCGCAAUGGGCGCAAGCCUGACGGAGCGACGCCGCGUGCGGGAUGAAGGCCUUCGGGUUGUAAACCGCUGUCAGUGGGGAGGAAAUCUAUAGGGGUCAUCCCCUAUAGUUGACCUAUCUUCAGAGGAAGGACGGGCUAAGUUCGUGCCAGCAGCCGCGGUAAGACGAACCGUCCAAACGUUAUUCGGAAUCACUGGGCUUAAAGGGUGCGUAGGCGGCUUGGCAAGUUUGGGUGUGAAAUCCCUCGGCUCAACCGAGGAACUGCGCUCAAAACUGCCAGGCUAGAGGGAGAUAGAGGUGAGCGGAACUUAUGGGUGGGAGCGGUGGAAAUGCGUUGAUAUCAUAGGGAACACCGGGUGGCGAAAGGCGC
rnacentral:rRNA from 1 species